UACGUAGGUGGCAAGCGUUAUCCGGAAUUAUUGGGCGUAAAGGGUGCGUAGGCGGUUUAUUAAGUCUGGGGUGAAAGUGCAGGGCUCAACUCUGUAUGGCCUUAGAAACUGGUAGACUUGAGUGUAGGAGAGGGCAGUGGAAUUCCAUGUGUAGCGGUAAAAUGCGUAGAUAUAUGGAGGAACACCGGUGGCGAAGGCGGCUGCCUGGCCUAUAACUGACGCUGAGGCACGAAAGCGUGGGGAGCAAAUAGG
rnacentral:rRNA from 1 species